rnacentral:rRNA from 1 species
GACGAACGCUGGCGGCGUGCUUAAUACAUGCAAGUCGAACGGACAGGCCCUGCUCUUGUGCCGUGCUCGUUUGCCGAACGGGUGAGUAAAACGCGAGUAUCCUGUCCUUGACUUAGGGAUAACUUCACGGAACUGGGGCUCAUAUCGGAUAGGAGCUCCUGCUGCAUAGUGUGCAUUGGUGAGUUUCGGCGGUUGGGGAUGGACUCGCGGCUUAUCAGCUUGUUGGUGGGGUAGUGGCUUACCAAGGCUUUGACGGGUAGCCGGCCUGAGAGGGUGACCGGCCACAUUGGGACUGAGAGACGGCCCAGACUCCUACGGGAGGCAGCAGUGGGGAAUAUUGCACAAUGGGCGGAAGCCUGAUGCAGCAACGCCGCGUGCGGGAUGACGGCCUUCGGGUUGUAAACCGCUUUCGCCUGUGACGAAGCGUGAGUGACGGUAAUGGGUAAAGAAGCACCGGCUAACUACG